UACGGAGGGUGCAAGCGUUAUCCGGAUUCACUGGGUUUAAAGGGUGCGUAGGCGGGCAGGUAAGUCAGAGGUGAAAUCUCCGAGCUUAACUCGGAAACUGCCUUUGAUACUAUUUGUCUUGAAUAUGGUGGAGGUAAGCGGAAUAUGUCAUGUAGCGGUGAAAUGCUUAGAGAUGACAUAGAACACCCAUUGCGAAGGCAGCUUACUACGCCUAUAUUGACGCUGAGGCACGAAAGCGUGGGGAUCAAACAGG
rnacentral:rRNA from 1 species